rnacentral:rRNA from 1 species
AUGCGUAAGUCAUACUUAUAAACCAGCUUAAAGCACGGUCCCUAAACAAUGGAUGUCUUGAACGGACGCCAUGAAGAACGAUGCAAAGAGUAACAUUUAACUGUGGUAUCAAAGAUUGGGACAACUUUCUCUUUGAAUGCUUAUUGCUUAUACUGGAACUUGCGCGCAUGUUUUAUAUUCUAGUACUGCAUCUUUUAAAAAUUCUUCUUUUAAAAUUUACAAAUAAAUUCUCUUUUUACGUAAUCAGCAAAAUGUAAGAAAACCCGCUGAAAUGGGUUCUGUCACUAAUCGGAAGAAAAGAUACUAAAAAGCAUCUCAUUAAGCGGAGGAAAAGAAACUAAA